rnacentral:rRNA from 1 species
GAUAAACGCUGGCGGCGUGCCUAACACAUGCAAGUCGAACGGGUUAUGUAGCAAUACAUAACUAGUGGCGAACGGGUGAGUAAUGCAUAGGUAACCUGCCCUUAAGUCUGGGAUAACCUUGGGAAACUAAGAUUAAUACCGGAUAUGCUCACGACCUCAUAUGAGGAUGUGAGGAAAGGUUUUUCGCUUAAGGAGGGGCUUAUGUCUGAUUAGCUUGUUGGUGGGGUAAUGGCCUACCAAGGCGACGAUCAGUAGCCGGCCUGAGAGGGUGUACGGCCACACUGGGACUGAGACACGGCCCAGACUCCUACGGGAGGCAGCAGUGGGGAAUAUUGCGCAAUGGGCGAAAGCCUGACGCAGCGACGCCGCGUGAGUGAAGAAGUCUUUCGGGAUGUAAUGCUCUGUCAAGAGGAACGAUAAUGACGGUACCUCGAGAGGAAGCCCCGGCUAACUACGUGCCAGCCGCCGCGGUAA